UGCAUGCUGGUGUAUAGUUGUGUUUAAAAGCUACAAGGCAAACUGAUUGGUCGUACAUCUAAGACAUGUGACACGAACAUGGAUUUGGAACAAAUGAUACAGAUCAUGUCCUAAAAACCUUAACAACUGGCUCGGGUGCCCUAACCUGAAAAACAAUUUUUAGAAAAAUUGCAAUACACAUUUAUUUUAAAAACUAUUUUAUCACAAAUAAAUUAGCAUUCAAAUUUUUUUUUACCUCACCAGCUCCACAAGAGCCUUCAAGAUCUGGGUUCCAAGAAACACCUUUCCGUGCAAAGAGCUCUACAGCCACCUGAAGUCAGGGCCAGUCCAAACCCACCACAGCCUCAACAGACUCCAUUACAUGGACACCAAAGAACUCAUCAGACCCCUACCCCUGAAGUUACUGUCUAUGCUGUCCGAAAGAACCCAUUAACAUCAAGGGCAACAAGUGCUGAGAUUGUGACGGUGAUGAAAAGGUGGCUGCAGCUGGCUUCAGACCGUGGAGGAGGAUGGAAGAGGUGCAACAAACAGUAGCUUGCCCUGACUAGGAACGCAUAAACCAUUAUAAUCAACGAGGAAAAAAUUCAGCGGUGAUCAUUCUGGAGCUGACGAGUGUAUGCCCAGGAUGACUCUGUCUCCCCGGGCAAAGCCUGCGAACUUCACCCACUGCCCGGAGCUCAGUCCAUGUACUUUUUAAAAAAAAAAAAAAAAAA